AUGCGCAGACCCGGCGCUGCUCUCCGCCACGUGCUCCCCUCUCGCCACGUGCUCCGCGCACCCGGCCUUGCGCAUGCGCAGCAUCACUUCGCGCAUGCGCAGACUCCUCACUGCUCUCCGCCACGUGUUGAAUGGCCACGCUGUGGUUUUGGAGCUGAGGUCGCUGCAGGGCUGGGUGAGGAAAGCAGGCACCAGUUGUUGAAGGAGCAGCCGUGUUCGAUUGGAAGGGUGCAGCUUCUGUUCCUGCCCUCCUUAGAGCAGCCACCAGUCAGACUCUGGGUGUCAGCUGCACAUCCACCAGCAGAUGUGAAUUUGCAGGAGUUGAGGAAAAACAAAAGACUUUCUUCUGGAGCGCAGCCUUAUGACACAGCCUGCCAGCCUCUCUGGAUUUGUCCUUAGUCCCACAGUUGUGCCCACAGACCCAGAUCCAGGCUCUAUGCACACACAGAUUAGUCUUUGCCCCCAGGGCAUUACAAUUUAAACAGACCAAACUAAGCAACGUGAAGACAGAUCAACUGUAUGAAACAACAACAGAUGAACGAAAAAUGAGCCUAGAUGUUUUCUAUCUGUGGCCACUAGAUCAUACUUCAAGUUUUUUUUUCCUCAGUAUGAAUAUAAGGGAGAAUGAGUGUGAACAGAUGGUACGUAGAGGGAAGGAAGAGAUGAAUGUUAAGAUAGAAAGUCACCUGGGUGAGAGAAAUACAAAAAGUUGGACUCCAUAAAAAGAAAAUGCUGCUGCUUCUAAUUUAGAUUUUUGAUCGAGGCAUUUGCAGCAAUCUGAGUACUGUGAUUGAGAGAUGUUUGCCUUACCAUUAGAAGCCCGUGUGGCCCAUGAAUUCUCAGAGCCACAGCCUUCACGUUUCAGGGAUACAUCCACACAUCUCUGGAGAGCAGCUGGAAUAAAGUUGUGCCUCCAGCAAAGACA
rnacentral:lncRNA from 1 species